UUUGACGGGAGGAGGUUUUUCCCUUAUCCUGUAUUUGUGGCCGAGUGUGGCCUUUGUUUAUCUAUGUCUGGCCGAGUGUAGCCUUUAUUUCGAGACUUCGUGUGGGCCUGUUUGGCCGCUUUAUCUUUAUCGGGACUGGCCGUUGGUGGCUUUGAAUCCCUACCGAUGUGCGGUUUUAUAUAUAUGAUGGAUGUUUGUUGAACUACUUUGUUCCGAGUGCGUCUGAAGUAAACAUGAGUUGUCGUCUCAUAUUUAGUUCUGUCGAGACGUUCAAUCUGUUGGUUUGCUCGAGACGC
rnacentral:lncRNA from 1 species